rnacentral:rRNA from 1 species
CGAACGCUGGCGGCGUGCUUAACACAUGCAAGUCGAACGGAAAGGCCCUGCUUUUGUGGGGUGCUCGAGUGGCGAACGGGUGAGUAACACGUGAGUAACCUGCCCUUGACUUUGGGAUAACUUCAGGAAACUGGGGCUAAUACCGGAUAGGAGCUCCUGCUGCAUGGUGGGGGUUGGAAAGUUUCGGCGGUUGGGGAUGGACUCGCGGCUUAUCAGCUUGUUGGUGGGGUAGUGGCUUACCAAGGCUUUGACGGGUAGCCGGCCUGAGAGGGUGACCGGCCACAUUGGGACUGAGAUACGGCCCAGACUCCUACGGGAGGCAGCAGUGGGGAAUAUUGCACAAUGGGCGGAAGCCUGAUGCAGCAACGCCGCGUGCGGGAUGACGGCCUUCGGGUUGUAAACCGCUUUCGCCUGUGACGAAGCGUGAGUGACGGUAAUGGGUAAAGAAGCACCGGCUAACUACGUGCCAGCAGCCGCGGUGAUACGUAGGGUGCGAGCGUUGUCCGGAUUUAUUGGGCGUAAAGGGCUCGUAGGUGGUUGAUCGCGUCGGAAGUGUAAUCUUGGGGCUUAACCCUGAGCGUGCUUUCGAUACGGGUUGACUUGAGGAAGGUAGGGGAGAAUGGAAUUCCUGGUGGAGCGGUGGAAUGCGCAGAUAUCAGGAGGAACACCAGUGGCGAAGGCGGUUCUCUGGGCCUUUCCUGACGCUGAGGAGCGAAAGCGUGGGGAGCGAACAGGCUUAGAUACCCUGGUAGUCCACGCUGUAAACGGUGGGUACUAGGUGUGGGGUCCAUUCCACGGGUUCCGUGCCGUAGCUAACGCUUUAAGUACCCCGCCUGGGGAGUACGGCCGCAAGGCUAAAACUCAAAGGAAUUGACGGGGCCCCGCACAAGCGGCGGAGCAUGCGGAUUAAUUCGAUGCAACGCGUAGAACCUUACCUGGGUUUGACAUGGAUCGGGAGUGCUCAGAGAUGGGUGUGCCUCUUUUGGGGUCGGUUCACAGGUGGUGCAUGGCUGUCGUCAGCUCAUGUCGUGAGAUGUUGGGUUAAGUCCCGCAACGAGCGCAACCCUUGUUCACUGUUGCCAGCACGUUAUGGUGGGGACUCAGUGGAGACCGCCGGGGUCAACUCGGAGGAAGGUGGGGAUGACGUCAAGUCAUCAUGCCCCUUAUGUCCAGGGCUUCACGCAUGCUACAAUGGCUGGUACAGAGAGUGGCGAGCCUGUGAGGGUGAGCGAAUCUCGGAAAGCCGGUCUCAGUUCGGAUUGGGGUCUGCAACUCGACCUCAUGAAGUCGGAGUCGCUAGUAAUCGCAGAUCAGCAACGCUGCGGUGAAUACGUUCCCGGGGCUUGUACACACCGCCCGUCAAGUCAUGAAAGUUGGUAACACCCGAAGCCGGUGGCCUAACCGUUGUGGGGGAGCCGUCGAAGGUGGGACUGGUGAUUAGG